CCUACGGGAGGCAGCAGUGGGGAAUAUUGCACAAUGGGGGAAACCCUGAUGCAGCAACGCCGCGUGAGUGAAGAAGUCUUUCGGUAUGUAAAGCUCUAUCAGCAGGGAAGAAGAUGACGGUACCAGAUCAAGAAGCCGCGGCUAACUACGAGCAAGCAGCCGCGGGUAUACGUAGGGGGGCAGCGUUAUCCGGAUUUAUGGGGGUUAAAGCGAGCGCAGUCGGCAGUGCAAGUCUGGAGUUAAAGCCCGGGGCCCAACCCCGGAACUGCUGUGGAAACUGGGCGGCUAGAGUGCUGGAGGGGCAGGCGGAAUGCGUAGUGUAGCGGUGAAAUGCGUAGAUAUUAGGAGGAACACCAGUGGCGAAGGCAGCCUGCUGGACAGUAACUGACGUUGAGGCUCGAAAGCGUGGGGAGCAAACAGGAUUAGAUACCCUAGUAGUC
rnacentral:rRNA from 1 species